GCUGCGGCAGCGACGCUUAUGCGUUGUUGGGUAGGGGAGCGUUCUGUAAGCCUGCGAAGGUGUGCUGUGAGGCAUGCUGGAGGUAUCAGAAGUGCGAAUGCUGACAUAAGUAACGAUAAAGCGGGUGAAAAGCCCGCUCGCCGGAAGACCAAGGGUUCCUGUCCAACGUUAAUCGGGGCAGGGUGAGUCGACCCCUAAGGCGAGGCCGAAAGGCGUAGUCGAUGGGAAACAGGUUAAUAUUCCUGUACUUGGUGUUACUGCGAAGGGGGGACGGAGAAGGCUAUGUUGGCCGGGCGACGGUUGUCCCGGUUUAAGCGUGUAGGCUGGUUUUCCAGGCAAAUCCGGAAAAUCAAGGCUGAGGCGUGAUGACGAGGCACUACGGUGCUGAAGCAACAAAUGCCCUGCUUCCAGGAAAAGCCUCUAAGCAUCAGGUAACAUCAAAUCGUACCCCAAACCGACACAGGUGGUCAGGUAGAGAAUACCAAGGCGCUUGAGAGAACUCGGGUGAAGGAACUAGGCAAAAUGGUGCCGUAACUUCGGGAGAAGGCACGCUGAUAUGUAGGUGAAGUCCCUUGCGGAUGGAGCUGAAAUCAGUCGAAGAUACCAGCUGGCUGCAACUGUUUAUUAAAAACACAGCACUGUGCAAACACGAAAGUGGACGUAUACGGUGUGACGCCUGCCCGGUGCCGGAAGGUUAAUUGAUGGGGUCAGCGCAAGCGAAGCUCUUGAUCGAAGCCCCGGUAAACGGCGGCCGUAACUAUAACGGUCCUAAGGUAGCGAAAUUCCUUGUCGGGUAAGUUCCGACCUGCACGAAUGGCGUAAUGAUGGCCAGGCUGUCUCCACCCGAGACUCAGUGAAAUUGAACUCGCUGUGAAGAUGCAGUGUACCCGCGGCAAGACGGAAAGACCCCGUGAACCUUUACUAUAGCUUGACACUGAACAUUGAGCCUUGAUGUGUAGGAUAGGUGGGAGGCUUUGAAGUGUGGACGCCAGUCUGCAUGGAGCCGGCCUUGAAAUACCACCCUUUAAUGUUUGAUGUUCUAACGUGGACCCGUGAUCCGGGUUGCGGACAGUGUCUGGUGGGUAGUUUGACUGGGGCGGUCUCCUCCUAAAGAGUAACGGAGGAGCACGAAGGUUGGCUAAUCCUGGUCGGACAUCAGGAGGUUAGUGCAAUGGCAUAAGCCAGCUUGACUGCGAGCGUGACGGCGCGAGCAGGUGCGAAAGCAGGUCAUAGUGAUCCGGUGGUUCUGAAUGGAAGGGCCAUCGCUCAACGGAUAAAAGGUACUCCGGGGAUAACAGGCUGAUACCGCCCAAGAGUUCAUAUCGACGGCGGUGUUUGGCACCUCGAUGUCGGCUCAUCACAUCCUGGGGCUGAAGUAGGUCCCAAGGGUAUGGCUGUUCGCCAUUUAAAGUGGUACGCGAGCUGGGUUUAGAACGUCGUGAGACAGUUCGGUCCCUAUCUGCCGUGGGCGCUGGAGAACUGAGGGGGGCUGCUCCUAGUACGAGAGGACCGGAGUGGACGCAUCACUGGUGUUCGGGUUGUCAUGCCAAUGGCACUGCCCGGUAGCUAAAUGCGGAAGAGAUAAGUGCUGAAAGCAUCUAAGCACGAAACUUGCCCCGAGAUGAGUUCUCCCUGACCCUUUAAGGGUCCUGAAGGAACGUUGAAGACGACGACGUUGAUAGGCCGGGUGUGUAAGCGCAGCGAUGCGUUGAGCUAACCGGUACUAAUGAACCGUGAGGCUUAACCUUACAACGCCGAAG
rnacentral:rRNA from 1 species